UCUCUUCCAGCCAAUGAGAAGUUAACCCGGAACUCUCCUAACGCCUCUCAUAUUACAGCAGCAAGCAUGGGGAAGACUGGAACACCGGGUGGGAAGAUCAACAGACCCAAGACAGAGCUGGGCAAGAAGCUCUAUAAGCGGCGGAGGAAUCUGACCCGAGAGAAGAGGAGGAGACACAUCAAGGUGGGAGCUGUGGUGGACGAAGGACUCACCACCAUCCACCAUCUCAGGAAGAGAAACUCCAGCCCCAGAGCCAACAUCACUCUGUCUGGGAAGAAGAAACGCAAGCUGCUCAAACAGCUGCAACACAUGAAAGCAGAGAAGGCCGCUAUGGAAGUUGAGGCAGCAACAAAGACUAAGGCGUUGGCAGCACCAACGAAGGCAGCAGCACCAACGAAGGCAGCAGCACCAACGAAGGCAGCAGCACCAACGAAGGCAGCAGCACCAACGAAGGCAGCAGCACCAACGAAGGCAGCAGCACCAACGAAGGCAGCAGCACCAACGAAGGCAGCCAGACGCCAGAAAGGGGGUGUGUCCCAGGGGGAUGUGGAAAUGGCAGAUAUAGAAUGAGAAGAGGAUGAGAGACUGUUCUGUUGGCCCCAUGCCAAGGCCAGACCAGGCUCCAUAUUCAGACCAGGCCCCAUAUUCAGACCAGGCCCCAUGCCAAGGCCAGACCAGUCCCCAUGCCAAGGCCAGACCAGGCCCCAUAUUCAGACCGGGCCCCGUAUUCAGACCGGGCCCCAUAUUCAGACCGGGCCCCAUAUUCAGACCGGGUCCCAUAUUCAGACCGGGCCCCAUAUUCAGACCGGGCCCCAUAUUCAGACCAGACCCAUAUAUAUAAAUAUGAUUUUAUGGACGGGGAGGCCUGAUCCUGGAUCAGUUUUAGCCUUUUAGACCUAAUGAAUAUGAUUACAUGGACAGGGAGGCCUGAUCCUGGAUCAGUUUUAGCCUUUUAGACCUAAUGAAUAUGAUUACAUGGACAGGGGAGGCCUGGUCCUGAGCCAGAGAGCCUUGUGUUUGUGUAUCUGAAUGCCGUCAUUGUAAAUAAGAAUUUGUUCUUAACUGACUUGCCUAGUUUAAAUAAAAUAAAAAAACAGAC